rnacentral:rRNA from 1 species
GUUGGGUAGGGGAGCGUUCUGUAAGCCUGCGAAGGUGUACUGUGAGGUAUGCUGGAGGUAUCAGAAGUGCGAAUGCUGACAUAAGUAACGAUAAUGCGGGUGAAAAACCCGCACGCCGGAAGACCAAGGGUUCCUGUCCAACGUUAAUCGGGGCAGGGUGAGUCGACCCCUAAGGCGAGGCUGAAAAGCGUAGUCGAUGGGAAACGGGUUAAUAUUCCCGUACUGGUGGUAACUGCGAUGGGGGAACGGAGAAGGCUAGGUUGUCCGGGCGACGGUCGUCCCGGUUCAAGCAGGUAGGCAGAGUGAUUAGGCAAAUCCGGUCACUUAAUGCUGAGAUGUGAUGACGAACCACCAAGGUGGUGAAGCAAUUGAUGCCCCGCUUCCAGGAAAAGCCUCUAAGCUUCAGGUUACCAACAAUCGUACCCCAAACCGACACAGGUGGUCAGGUAGAGAAUACUCAGGCGCUUGAGAGAACUCGGGUGAAGGAACUAGGCAAAAUGGUGCCGUAACUUCGGGAGAAGGCACGCUGGCGGUAGGUAAAGUCCCUUGCGGACGGCGCUGAAGCCAGUCGAAGAUACCAGCUGGCUGCAACUGUUUAUUAAAAACACAGCACUGUGCAAACACGAAAGUGGACGUAUACGGUGUGACGCCUGCCCGGUGCUGGAAGGUUAAUUGAUGGGGUUAGCGCAAGCGAAGCUCCUGAUCGAAGCCCCAGUAAACGGCGGCCGUAACUAUAACGGUCCUAAGGUAGCGAAAUUCCUUGUCGGGUAAGUUCCGACCUGCACGAAUGGCGUAAUGAUGGCCAGGCUGUCUCCACCCGAGACUCAGUGAAAUUGAACUCGCUGUGAAGAUGCAGUGUACCCGCGGCAAGACGGAAAGACCCCGUGAACCUUUACUAUAGCUUGACACUGAACAUUGAGCCUUGAUGUGUAGGAUAGGUGGGAGGCUUUGAAGUGUGGACGCCAGUCUGCAUGGAGCCAACCUUGAAAUACCACCCUUUAACGUUUGAUGUUCUAACCUAGGCCCAUAAACUGGGUCGGGGACCGUGUCUGGUGGGUAGUUUGACUGGGGCGGUCUCCUCCUAAAGAGUAACGGAGGAGCACGAAGGUUGGCUAAGCAUGGUCGGACAUCAUGCGGUUAGUGCAAAGGCAUAAGCCAGCUUGACUGCGAGAGUGACGGCUCGAGCAGGUACGAAAGUAGGUCUUAGUGAUCCGGUGGUUCUGAAUGGAAGGGCCAUCGCUCAACGGAUAAAAGGUACUCCGGGGAUAACAGGCUGAUACCGCCCAAGAGUUCAUAUCGACGGCGGUGUUUGGCACCUCGAUGUCGGCUCAUCACAUCCUGGGGCUGAAGUAGGUCCCAAGGGUAUGGCUGUUCGCCAUUUAAAGUGGUACGCGAGCUGGGUUUAGAACGUCGUGAGACAGUUCGGUCCCUAUCUGCCGUGGGCGUUGGAAGAUUGAGAGGGGUUGCUCCUAGUACGAGAGGACCGGAGUGAACGCACCACUGGUGUUCGGGUUGUCAUGCCAAUGGCAUUGCCCGGUAGCUAAGUGCGGAAGAGAUAACCGCUGAAAGCAUCUAAGCGGGAAACUUGCCUCGAGAUGAGUCUUCCCUGUCGCUUUAAGCGACCUAAAGGAACGUUUAAGACUAAGACGUUGAUAGGCUGGGUGUGUAAGCGUAGCGAUACGUUGAGCUAACCAGU